UACGGAGGGGGCUAGCGUUGUUCGGAAUUACUGGGCGUAAAGCGCACGUAGGCGGCUUUGUAAGUUAGAGGUGAAAGCCCAGGGCUCAACCCUGGAAUUGCCUUUAAGACUGCAUCGCUAGAAUCGUGGAGAGGUGAGUGGAAUUCCGAGUGUAGAGGUGAAAUUCGUAGAUAUUCGGAAGAACACCAGUGGCGAAGGCGACUACCUGGUCUGGCAUUGACGCUCAUGUGCGAAAGCGUGGGGAGCAAACAGG
rnacentral:rRNA from 1 species